rnacentral:ncRNA from 1 species
ACCGAUUAAAGGCACCCCCGCAGUGAUGCGGGCUCGCAAAGCCAGGAGUCUCGACCUUCGAGAUCGUCCGGCUGCCGAA